UCGGCGUUCGUCUAAUCGGCAAGACGCAAGACUUUGACUCUUGAGAUCGUGGUUCGAGCCCGCGGCGCCGAACCA
rnacentral:tRNA from 1 species